rnacentral:rRNA from 4 species
AAAUUGAAGAGUUUGAUCAUGGCUCAGAUUGAACGCUGGCGGCAGGCCUAACACAUGCAAGUCGAACGGUAACAGGAAGCAGCUUGCUGCUUUGCUGACGAGUGGCGGACGGGUGAGUAAUGUCUGGGAAACUGCCUGAUGGAGGGGGAUAACUACUGGAAACGGUGGCUAAUACCGCAUAACGUCGCAAGACCAAAGAGGGGGACCUUCGGGCCUCUUGCCAUCAGAUGUGCCCAGAUGGGAUUAGCUUGUUGGUGAGGUAACGGCUCACCAAGGCGACGAUCCCUAGCUGGUCUGAGAGGAUGACCAGCCACACUGGAACUGAGACACGGUCCAGACUCCUACGGGAGGCAGCAGUGGGGAAUAUUGCACAAUGGGCGCAAGCCUGAUGCAGCCAUGCCGCGUGUAUGAAGAAGGCCUUCGGGUUGUAAAGUACUUUCAGCGGGGAGGAAGGUGUUGUGGUUAAUAACCGCAGCAAUUGACGUUACCCGCAGAAGAAGCACCGGCUAACUCCGUGCCAGCAGCCGCGGUAAUACGGAGGGUGCAAGCGUUAAUCGGAAUUACUGGGCGUAAAGCGCACGCAGGCGGUCUGUCAAGUCGGAUGUGAAAUCCCCGGGCUCAACCUGGGAACUGCAUUCGAAACUGGCAGGCUUGAGUCUUGUAGAGGGGGGUAGAAUUCCAGGUGUAGCGGUGAAAUGCGUAGAGAUCUGGAGGAAUACCGGUGGCGAAGGCGGCCCCCUGGACAAAGACUGACGCUCAGGUGCGAAAGCGUGGGGAGCAAACAGGAUUAGAUACCCUGGUAGUCCACGCCGUAAACGAUGUCUACUUGGAGGUUGUGCCCUUGAGGCGUGGCUUCCGGAGCUAACGCGUUAAGUAGACCGCCUGGGGAGUACGGCCGCAAGGUUAAAACUCAAAUGAAUUGACGGGGGCCCGCACAAGCGGUGGAGCAUGUGGUUUAAUUCGAUGCAACGCGAAGAACCUUACCUGGUCUUGACAUCCACGGAAGUUUUCAGAGAUGAGAAUGUGCCUUCGGGAACCGUGAGACAGGUGCUGCAUGGCUGUCGUCAGCUCGUGUUGUGAAAUGUUGGGUUAAGUCCCGCAACGAGCGCAACCCUUAUCCUUUGUUGCCAGCGAUUCGGUCGGGAACUCAAAGGAGACUGCCAGUGAUAAACUGGAGGAAGGUGGGGAUGACGUCAAGUCAUCAUGGCCCUUACGACCAGGGCUACACACGUGCUACAAUGGCGCAUACAAAGAGAAGCGACCUCGCGAGAGCAAGCGGACCUCAUAAAGUGCGUCGUAGUCCGGAUUGGAGUCUGCAACUCGACUCCAUGAAGUCGGAAUCGCUAGUAAUCGUGGAUCAGAAUGCCACGGUGAAUACGUUCCCGGGCCUUGUACACACCGCCCGUCACACCAUGGGAGUGGGUUGCAAAAGAAGUAGGUAGCUUAACCUUCGGGAGGGCGCUUACCACUUUGUGAUUCAUGACUGGGGUGAAGUCGUAACAAGGUAACCGUAGGGGAACCUGCGGUUGGAUCACCUCCUUACCUGAAAGAAGC